rnacentral:rRNA from 1 species
GAUGAACGCUGGCGGCGUGCCUAAUACAUGCAAGUCGAGCGAACAGACGAGGAGCUUGCUCCUCUGAUGUUAGCGGCGGACGGGUGAGUAACACGUGGAUAACCUACCUAUAAGACUGGGAUAACUUCGGGAAACCGGAGCUAAUACCGGAUAAUAUUUUGAACCGCAUGGUUCAAAAGUGAAAGACGGUCUUGCUGUCACUUAUAGAUGGAUCCGCGCUGCAUUAGCUAGUUGGUAAGGUAACGGCUUACCAAGGCAACGAUGCAUAGCCGACCUGAGAGGGUGGUCGGCCACACUGGAACUGAGACACGGUCCAGACUCCUACGGGAGGCAGCAGUAGGGAAUCUUCCGCAAUGGGCGAAAGCCUGACGGAGCAACGCCGCGUGAGUGAUGAAGGUCUUCGGAUCGUAAAACUCUGUUAUUAGGGAAGAACAUAUGUGUAAGUAACUGUGCACAUCUUGACGGUACCUAAUCAGAAAGCCACGGCUAACUACGUG